CAGCUUUCAUGAAAGCUUGUACUUUGGUUUUCUCUCCCUUUUUCUCUCCUUCUACCACACGGCCACUUGGGUGUUCUUUAAGGUUUCUCUCUCCAAAUCAACUUGAAAAGAAGUCUAAGAAACUACACGGAGAAGAGUUUACUGAUGCAGAUCGAGAUGAUGAAGGCAUGGACCCAUAUGCCAGUUUUGAUGGUUUUUGAAACCAUUAUCGGAUUAUUAUGUACUAGUCUUGAAAUAGCUAGCUAUAUUUUAGUGUGUUUUAUUUUGUGG